rnacentral:rRNA from 1 species
UACGUAGGGCGCGAGCGUUGUCCGGAAUUAUUGGGCGUAAAGGGCUCGUAGGCGGCCAACUAAGUCGGAUGUGAAAUCCCCAGGCUUAACCUGGGAACUGCAUCCGAUACUGGAUGGCUUGAAUCCGGGAGAGGGAUGCAGAAUUCCAGGUGUAGCGGUGAAAUGCGUAGAUAUCUGGAGGAAUACCGGUGGCGAAGGCGGCAUCCUGGACCGGCAUUGACGCUGAGGAGCGAAAGCUAGGGGAGCAAACGGG